CCUCAAAUCAGGUAGGACUACCCGCUGAACUUAAGCAU
rnacentral:rRNA from 1 species